GUCCCCGGCGUCCGGGCGCCCUGCAUGGAUCCCCCACCCCAGCUCCUGCUCCCCGGCGGCGGCCGGUGGGCAGAAAGACCGAAACCCACUCACGGCCGCCUGCCGAAUCGCGGCUCUGCUGUUUGUGGGGCGUGCUAGAAACGUGGUCCUAAAAAGAAUGGCGUCCAUUUACAUAAUGCUUUGUUUGCGUUUCGCAAGUUUCUUUCGGUUAAAGCCACAGAAACCCCACCUCCUGCCCUUGUGUCGUUUCCACCGCGGCACCCUUUUCCGACAUUAGAAACAAUAGUGUACGCCUGUGGAGGCCUCGUUUGUUCAGGGGCUGCCGGCCAGGGCUUCAGGACGUUUCUGCGGCUUUCCCCGCGCGGCCUGGGCUCCCGCGGCUGCUUUUCGGGCCCAUGGGCGCAGCCACUGCGCCAGGCUCAAGGGGGGCGGCCCCGUCAGGGCCCGCCAUCUUGGAAGGCCUUUUUUGCCGGUUCUUCCCGCUGAGGAAGUGUCGCUCAAGACGCUGGCCUAUGAGUUGUGAUUUCUGCCUUUUCCCCUUCCUCCUUGGGCUAAGCCAGACCAGAAAGGGCCCCGUGCGCAACGUGCUUCACAAUCUCUCAGGGAAAGCGGCUAACGUGGCGCUACUCCGCCUCCCCUGUUCCUUACCCUUGGGGCGGCCGCCAUGUUUCCUGAACACAAAAUGGCGACACGUGGUUAGCAUUCGUCGCCAACGAGAAAUUGGGGUCGGCCCGAAAGCUCUAGAAUGCACCCCUCUUCCUCCCCGGGGCCUUCCACCUCCGCGAGUUUUAUGACUUAAAAAAGCCCACAGGCUGGUCUGAAGGUCGGAGGCCUAAUUUUAACGCGUUUUCCUCCCUUUAAUUUGAAACGGGAACGCGAAUGACUGUAAAAUGUGGGCACAAUAUUUAAUCUCUCGCCUUUUUAAAGCUUAAUAGUGGAUAAUAGGGGGGCAGUAUCAAGGGAUAAUUUGGGUCCCCACAGUACCAAAGCAUUUAGAAACCUCUGUUUAAUUUAAGGAAUGAGAUAAGUUACUGCUUUUCUAGACUUCCUAGCAUGGGCUGUUGUGCUGGAGAGAACGAGAGCUACGAAGAGACUACAGUGCCUCUGACUUUUUCAUAGGACAGUUGGCCGGUGAAUCUUAUUAAUAGUUUACCACAAUUAAGUGUUCAUUUUUAGUCUAGAAGGGACAGGCGUUUAUUGUGCAUUGGCCAGUGCCAGCACAUCCGAUGCAAGGCAGUUCACCGUAUUCUAUCUUUAAUUUUUACCAUGGUCCUCUGAGGUAGGUGUUCUUAUCUCUCUCUCUCUCUCUCUCUUUUAAACAGAGGAAGACAAACAUAAAGAUGAAGUGCUUAAUUCAAGGUCACACAAUGUCGGGGAUGGACCUCCAGAUUUCCUUACUGACCUGCAUUAUCUUGUGGAUACCUGAGUGAAUUCCACACCACCCAUUUUAUAGAUGAAACCACUGAGACAUGGAGCAAUUGACUGAGUAGUCACUGCCCCACCCCUGCCUGGAGCCUCACACAUGACUCGCCUCCUCUCAGUGACCACAGGUGAGACGUGGUCUUGUAACACAGUGGUUAAGAAUGUGACUUUGGAGCCAGCCUGCUAGGGGCUGAAUUCUGACUCAGCCAUUUACUAACUGUGUGACCUUAGGUAAGUCAUUUACCUUCUUUGUCCCUCAGUUUCAUCUCGGUUAAGUAGGGAUAAUGAUAGCACCUAUUUUAUAGGGUUAUUGUGAGGAAUAAAUCCAAGUAAAAUGCUUAGAAUAGUAACUGAAACAUAGCACUCAUUAGGAAUGCUUUAAUUUUCAUUUAUUUGAGUAUUAAAGGUUGAAUUUUCAGAGGUAUUUUGGACCUUUGUAUUUUUUCUUUAAAUCACUUAUUCAUGACUUUUGAACUUUUUUUUUUCUUUUAGAGACAGGGUCUUGGUUUGUUGUCUAGGCUGGAAUGCAGUGGUGCAAUCAUAGCUCACUGUAGCCUUGAACUCUUGGGCUCAAGAGAUCCUCCUGCCUCAGCCUCGUGAGUAGCUGGGCCUACAGGCGCCUGCUACCACACCUGGCUAAUUUUUUAUUUUUUGUAGAGAUGGGUUCUUGCAGCCCAGACUGGUCUUGAGCUUUGGCCUGAAGUGCUCCUCCUGCCUUGGCCUCUCAAAGCAUUGGGGUUACAGGUGUGAAGCACUGCACCUUGCCUACACAUUUUUUCCAAUAAUUUUUUUUAUUAAUUUGUAAGAGUUAACAUGUCGACUAUCAUAUAUAACAUAGAAUUGUUCCCAUUUUGUCAUUUCCUUUCAACUUUGUCUAUGUAGCUUUUUUUCUGUGUGCAAAUUUUACAUUUUUAGGUAGUCAGAAAAUCUCUUCCCUUGUAAUUUUUUCUGCUACUAGACCAAUGUUUAGAAAAAAGCGUGCUUCCCCACCUCAAAAUUAUAAAAAUAGUUACUUGUUCUUUUUGAGUACUGUGUGUGUUUAAAUCUUUAAUCUUUAAAUUUAAAUCUUUGAUCCAUCUGGUAUUUAUUUUGAUAUGAAGAGAGUGGUUGGGAUCUGGCUGUAUUUCUUUUUUCUUUUUUUUUCUUUUUUCUUUUUUUGACGAAGUCUCACUGUUGCUCAGGCUGGAGUGCAAUGGCAUGAUCUCGGCUCAUCACAACCUCUGCUUCCUGGGUUCAAGCGAUUCUCCUGCCUCAGCCUCCCGAGUACCUGGGACUACAGGCACUCGCCACCAUGCCCGGCUGAUUUUUGUAUUUUUAAUAGAGAUGGUUUCACUAUGUUGGCCAGGCUGGUCUCGAACUCCUGACCUUGUGAUCUGCCCACCUCAGCCUCGAAAAGUGCUGGGAUUACAGGCGUGAGCCACUGCGCCCAGCCUUGUAUUUUUUUUCAGUUUGGGUAGCUGUCCCUAAUUCAUUUGUUAAAGGAGAAGCAAGAGCAAGAACCUUUAAUCUGUUCUCCUCUUCCCUAAUUUGAAAGUAGCUUGUUAUUUUGAAUAUCACUUUCUCUGAAAUAGCACAUCUCCAUCUCAGAGAAUGGAUUUAAUGUUUGGAUACAGCCAAAAGUCAUUUCAUUACCAAACCAUGGGGUGAAUAUACCAUGUAAAGCAGUUUGGGAUCAGAACUCACAGUCUGAAUUGUAAGUGAUGAGACUGCUGUCUCUCUGCUACAGCUUCUUGGCUGGCUCUGAAGGCUCUUUGAAGGCAGAUCCUAACAAGGGGACUGCUUUGAAGGGCCAUUGUUCAUUUGGAAUGAUAAAGUCUAUGUUGUUCAAAAAACAAAUGCUUGUAGCAGGUAUUUUUUCACUCCAGACUGAGAAUAUUGGUGGGAUAUUGAUAAGGGGUACUGAAUGGUAAUAAACAUGUGCUCUAGCUCUGUGCUAGUCAGCUUAUUUCAGAACUCUAGUUUGAUUCAGUUUCUUGCCUCUGACUCAAAAUGGAGGGAGAGUGAUUUUUACAUAAGAGAACACACCCACAUAUCCUUUUGGCAGCAGCUACCUGCCAGAGAUGUUGAAGAAGAGUAGCCAACCUUUACACAGCAGAUAUUGUGUGCCAGUCAUAGUCCUAAGUAUAAUACCUUACAUGUAUAAACUUCUUAUAAGGUUGGUGCUCUGUACCGAAUUGAAUAGUAUCCCCCAAAAUUCAUGUUGUCCCAGAACCUAUGAAAGUGAUCUUACUUGAGGGAGGGGGGAGGGGGGAGGGAUAGCAUUAGGAGAUAUACCUAAUGCUAAAUGACGAGUUAAUGGGUGUAGCACACCAGCAUGGCACAUGUAUACAUAUGUAACUAACCUGCACAUUGUGCACAUGUACCCUAAAACUUAAAGUAUAAUAAUAAUAAAAUAAAAAAAAAAAAGAAAGUGAUCUUACUUGGAAAUAAGGUCUUUGCACAUAUGAUCAAGUUGAGAUGAAGUUGUACUGGAAAGUCUGUCUAGUGACUGGUGUUGUCAUAAGAAGAGAGGGACACAGAGGGAAGAUGGCCACAUGAAGAUGGAGGCAGAGAUUGCAGUUAUGCUGCUGCAAACUAAGGAAUGGCUCUGGCCCUCCAAGGAUUGCUGAUAACCACCAGAAACUAGAAGAGACAAGGAAGGAUUCUUCCCUAGAGCCUUCAGAGGGAGCAUGGCCCUACUGACACCUGGAUUUCAAACUUGUAGCUUCCUAAACUGCAAGAGAAUAAAUUUCUGUUGUUUUAAGCCA
rnacentral:lncRNA from 1 species